rnacentral:rRNA from 1 species
UAUGUAGGCGGCGCUGUUAGUCGGGUGUGAAAUCCCUCGGCUCAACCGAGGAAUUGCGCCCGAUACUGCAGUGCUUGAGGGAGACAGAGGUAAGCGGAACUGAUGGUGGAGCGGUGAAAUGCGCUGAUAUCAUCAGGAACACCGGUGGCGAAAGCGGCUUACUGGGUCUCUUCUGACGCUGAGAUACGAAAGCUAGGGUAGCGAAGG